GAAGACUGCUCCCUAAAAAAAAUUGAAAAUUCUCAGCUGACCAUGUGUCGUGCAAUGACAGAAAUGUCAAGAUGAGGGUGAGGCAGAGGACAAGGACGCAGGAAAGGUGGUCCUGCCUGCAUCUACAGUCUGAUCAUCAGUCUUCAGCCCUAUCUGUGUUGCCAGUGUGGACAUUGAUGCAAAGACUUCAGGCUCAGAAGAUGACAGACCGUCUAUCCAGCCAUCACCCCGAGAGCUGAAGGGGUGAAAGCGGAGGCCAGUUGUGGACCAGCCUAUAAAGACAUCGCAUUGGGUGAGUCACAGUCAAACUGAUGACAGUGUGGUGUUUGCUAUUGAUUACAGUGAAGCCAAGGUUAAUGUGUAUAAAAAAUGAAGUUCCUACAUUUACUAAGUAUGUCAUCAUGACUCACGUCAUUUGCACACAUACAAUGCAUACAUGGAGCCGACUUUAUGACUACAGAUACUUCUCACUGCACAGCACGUUUCAGUAGGCCCAGAUGAACAUUUUGAUGAAGCCUGGAAGAAAACAUACUUUAGAAGUAAUACUUAAAUACAUUUCUGCCAUUUUUUUUUUUUAAAUUAACACCUCCUCGUGUCAAAGAUCUGUAAUGUUACAUGUAUGUCACACUGUUUGUUGAUGGUGAAUUUAUUCCCCAUGUGUAAAAGUUUCAAUCACUCUCCCCAGUGGGAGGUGUACUCUUAUGUUUACAUGUUUAAAUAUUAUGCAUCUCUAUUAAUGAAUGUUGACAGUUGACACUGUGGUUUUUGCAACAUUUGACUGAAAAUGACUACAGAGCAAAUCUUCGAAAAUUACAAUGAGCAAUGAGAAAGUGACAUUUUUUAGACUAACACAGUUACAUGGUUACAUACCCUUUUCAUGAAAAGCAGAGUUUUUGUGCAGUUUUGUGUGCUGCAUCUGGUUAACUAUCCCUGUUUUAUUGGAGUGAGCAUGAGAAUGCAUCAUACAGUUUGUGGAGAUCUGUUAUUUACCACAUUUGUCCUGAAUUGCUGAAACCAAACACUUUCAAUAAUCCGCUAGACCAGUGGUUCUUAACCUUGUUGGAGGUACUGAACCCCACCAGUUUCAUAUGCGCAUUCACCGAACCCCUCUUUAUUGAAAAAUAAAAUAUGAUUUUUUUCAAAUUCAAGACAUAGUUAUAUGUUUUACUGGUGUACAAAAUGAGCCGUGCAUUAACUUCACUUGUGUUCUUGUAUUCCCCAUCUCCAUGCAGCUUAAGGAAGUGUUCCUUUAGUUUUGCCGGUGCUAGACUAGAAUUGCUUAACUUGGCAUUGCAAAUCAUGCAGAUAGGACGCUGACUCCCAUCACAUUCCGUUAUACAUGUGAGUCCAUGUUGUACAUAUUCGUCCGACCACUUUCUUUUUUUGCUCAACAUAGUUAGUAUGGAUUAAAAUAUUAAGAAAGAAAUCACACAACGUACCAUCACGACAGUCACAAGUCAACUACUGAGCACACCAAAUUCCCUGCAGCACAGAUUUGGCCAAGCAAUGUAGCGUGAUCACCUGCAGCCAGUGAUGGCCAAGCGGGGCAUGUCAUCACGAAUCAUAUGAGUCGGGUGUGUGUCUUGACCUCCGUCGAACCCCUGAGACUGACUCACCGAACCCCUAGGGUUCGAUCGAACCCAGGUUGAGAACCACUGCGCUAGACCUAAAAAUUAGAAAAAAAUUGUUUGACAUGGGCAGAAUAAUUAAAAUGACUGUUGGGUUGUUAAUUCACAGAUAAUAUGUGCAAUUUUACUGACUUUUCUUAGUUAUUCAGCAAUAGAAACAGAAAACUACAAGUUUAAAUUUUUCCCCAGUGAAUAUUAGUCAAAAUGACAGAUAGACUCUGGCAUCAACCAAAGCUCUUUCAGGGUGGAGGAUGGACAAUUUAUUGACCUAAAAUCUGCUUUGUUUCAUUGUGUGUUUUAAUGCUGAGACUUUGACAAGUCUAAGAAUUUACUGAUACACUGACAGCGUUACAUCAAAGUUUGGGGUGUGUUCAAGAUAGCAGUAAUGAUGUCUAUCACUGUCAGCUGUAAUAUUAAUGUGAGGCAGACUUUGUAGGAGACAGUUCCUGUGAUUCCUAAAACAAACUUUCAAAACAUACACACGAUUCACUUCAGUUGUGUUGAUUUCAUAUCCACAGAAAAUGAAGGGAAUAUUAGAAGAAAGUUGAUAGUUGUUAACUUUGUCAUCUGACCUGACUGCUCUGACAGAGAGAUAAAAAGAACGCUUGCAGCUGAACACUGCCCUGAGUCCUAGCUACCCAUGCAUCCUGCACAUGAGUGCUUUUAGCUGCCCUCUGAGCACCAGGGACGAGGGCCAGAUUUCUGGGAGCUAAAACUGGGAAGAGGUAAGUAUUUGUGGUAUGGUCUCCUCACUACCAGAGUGGGGUCCCAGCUUGCUGGAUCCCUCUCCACAACCUGGCUCCUCCAUACCUCACUGAACUCCUGCACUGACACACUCUCACCCACACCCUCCACUCUGCUGAUGCUGGCCUCCUGUCACCCUCCAUCUGGACCAAGUACCAGACCUGGGGACAUGGAGCUUUCUCCACUUACCAGAAGCAUCAGAGAGUCCUCCUCUCACACUCCCUAUUCAAGAAAUCCAUAAGGACACAUCUUUGCAACCCUGCCUACAAGUCAUAAUCCAUUUUCCAGAUGCUGCUUCGACGUUAAAAAAAUUUUUUUUUUGAAUUUUUUUUUCUACUUUGUGAAACAUCUUUGAGUGUCUUGAAAAGCACUUUGUAAGUAUUAUAUAGGGAAAAAGAUGAGUUUCAUAUAUGCUGAUUUUAUACUUUUCAUGCUGUUGGCUGCCUGAUUGAUACUUUAAAGAUACUGUCAGCUGCCAAACAUGCUCCCUAAAAAAUACUAUUGUGUCCUUUUAUAUUAACCUAGACCAGAUUCUGCUGUGUUGUUUUCUUUGUUUUCUUGCAGCACUGAUGUUGGAUGACUCGAGGACACAAAAUAAAAAGACGACUGAAAAGAGGGCCCCGGCAGAAGAGACAAAUGAGACACAGCUCCAGAAGUCACAUGACGAUGAGGGGCUGAGUUUACCAAGUGAAUGAGCUAUUGUCUGCUUACACAAGUACUUAGUUUACAGCAUAUAGUUGUCUGUAGAAAUAUGAUUUAUGUGAGACUCAAUCAACAAUGUAUCUGUGUGUGUUUUUCCUUCACAGCCCCCUCCUAAACCCCAAACAUUUUAAAAUAGGAAGUAGGGAAGAGUCCUUAAAGAUGAAAUAGAAAAUGAGACACAUCACCCAGAUAUGAGAAGAAAUGACGUAAACUGACCCAGGAUCAGCAUAUUACAUGUCUGGCAGCUCAACUAACACCAGAUAACUUGAUGAAGUUUGCUUUCUCCAAGACCCUCAACAAUCACAAGGAUCAGAUCAGGACAGGGAGCCAGAUGAAGGACAGCCACAGGAUAGGAAUCCCCAUUUCGGAGCAUGAGAUGUGGAAAGAAUUCUUAUUAUUACAUGAAUGGAAGAAAUUGGAGCAUCUGCAGAGAACCCACCCAGGUCCAGAGAGAACAUGAACUCCACACAGACAGAACCAGCAGGAUGAAGAAACAGUGAGAGGAACCCCAGGAUGAUCAGAAAUGGAAGAAUUAUGCCAAGAUGGGACGACAAAAAGCCCCAAACAGAAAAAGAAGAGUCAGACCAAGGAAGAGAAAGAAGAACGGCUUUGACUAAUUCCAAAGCACAAACAGCUGGUGGAGAGGCUCUGCUACAUUCCAGACGUCCCUCCUACUGCCAAUGCUUUCCAGUUCUUCCUGGGGGAUCCCGAGGCAUUCACAGGCCAGACAAGAUAUAUAAUGCUUCCUGUUUUGAGUCUACUCCGUGGUCUCUUCCAAGACGGACGUGAAAGCUCCGUGAAACUAAUAGAUUGGAUCAGUGGUUCGGUUUCCCAGAGACUAUGGGUUGAGGAGGAAUUGGAAGUUUGUCGGCUUAGACCUGGUGUCAUUCCAUCAGUGUUAAACUUCCUGGCUCAUCUUGGAAGAGUACGUGCCAGAAAGACCACGACCAAGCAGCCUUGAGAUCUUAGGCAGCGUCUCCCUGAGGUCCCUCUCUAUCUCCCCACACAUCCACCAACCACUGGAACACAUCUCCAAAGUUCUGCCGGGCCAGCUCAGCUUCCCCUCAGAAGAAGUUCCACCAGAUAAAGGAGCCUUUUGAGAGGCAGCUGGCAUCGUGAUUGGACUGUACUUUGGUCUGUUCCAAUCCAGCUUCAGCUCCAGAGACGGCAGGCGAGACGAAUCAACGGAGGCCUGGUGGACGAAGGCAUGCAGCUGAGUACAAUCCAGAAAACAACAGAGGAGGAGUGCAGCGGCCCAGGGCCAGAACAACCAGAAUAGGAUAGUAUGUCUCUUAGAAAACAUCAUAGCCUUUGGUAUGAAAAAACGCCAUCAUAUACAUCGUAUAUUGUACAAAUAACAAGUCAGAGGAAAGAGACAUACAUUGUAGAAUUGUAGUAAUUGUGGGCUGACUGAUUUACUGAUUAUUAAUUUAUUUUUUACUGAUUUACGGUAAUAAAUACAUUUAAAAAUGG